rnacentral:misc_RNA from 1 species
UGAUAAACUUAAGGUAGUUAUUAAUAGCAUAAAGCAGAGCGGGAACAGCCAGAAGCACAUUGUUCCGAGCAGCCUGGAACAAUGUGGAGAAAGAAAGAAGAGACUUCUCUCCAGCCUUCUGGUUUCGAGCCUCUAAGCAUAGCAUUAUUACUGCAAAUGCAACUUUUGCCAACUCAGUCAAAAAAUUAACACUGAUGGGACUGAACUCGAAUUUGCCAUCAACUUUUGACAUA